GUUACAGUUUGGUAAUAAGAGUUGAGAGUCUGGGUAGUUGCAUUCAUCCAUGAUCGGAGAAAGAAAGAGACUCAUUGAGCCCAGGGCCAAUACUUCCCCCACCCAACCCCUCAAAACCCACCGGCCCGCGCCUUGGCUGCAGUCACAAUGCUUCUCUGGGCGGCUGCAGCUGCAUCUCCGCUUUUCACUCUGUCCAGGUCUCCACUCUUCCGGUGCACAAAUAUCAACCGGUUUGAAAACCAUGAUCACUGGCCUUGAACAUUACAAGUCAUCUUAAAAUCAUCAUGGACCAUCACAAAUAUUCUACAGAAAUGUAUCUUAUAUUUCCUGUUAUUGCAGCAUUAAGGCUGUUUUCCAAAUUAAAUUUAUCUUCCACUUAUGUUACUAUUCUAUCUGGCGGAUUUUCAAAUGGACUGGUUAGCAACACUGGUCAAUCAUUCAGUGGAACUUCUGUGAGAUUAUUAGCUGGUGUUCCAAUGGUAGAAAAGAAGAAAGUCAUGUCUGAAGAGAUGCUUUCCUUACAAAGAUCCAUUGAAGUACGAAUCAAAGAAUCCAUGAGGGCAAACAGCAUUGGU